GUGCCAGCAGCCGCGGUAAUACGGAGGGUGCGAACGUUAAUCGGAAUUACUGGGCGUAAAGCGCGCGUAGGCGGUUCGGCAAGUGGGAUGUGAAAGCCCUGGGCUUAACCUGGGAACUGCAUUCCAAACUACCGAGCUAGAGUAUGGUAGAGGGAGGUAGAAUUUCCUGUGUAGCGGUGAAAUGCGUAGAUAUAGGAAGGAAUACCAGUGGCGAAGGCGGCCUCCUGGACCAAUACUGACGCUGAGGUGCGAAAGCGUGGGGAGCAAACAGGAUUAGAAACCCGUGUAGUCC
rnacentral:rRNA from 1 species